rnacentral:rRNA from 1 species
CGUUACGCGCGCGCCUACACAUGCAGUACGCGACGAGUAACGGGACGUUCGGCCCGGUACCGACGUGGCGGCACGGGUGAGUAACGACGUGGGUAAUCGUCCCUCGGAGCGGGGGAGUAACAUUCCGAAAGGAGUAGCUAAUACCGACAUAAGACCACGGCCUCGAAACGAGGCUGCGGUCAAAGCUGGCCUCUAUACAUAAGCUAGCACUUGAGGAUGAGCCCGCGGCCCAUCAGGUAGUUGGUAGGGUAACGGCCUACCAAGCCAAAGACGGGUAGCUGGUCUGAGAGGAUGAUCAGCCACACUGGAACUGAGACACGGUCCAGACUUCUACGGAAGGCAGCAGUGGGGGAAUCUUGCGCAAUGGGCGAAAGCCUGACGCAGCGACGCCGCGUGAGUGAUGAAGGCCUUCGGGUUGUAAAGCUCUGUGGGGAGAGAAGAAUUAGUGCGGGCUAAUACUCCGCAUGAUGACGGUAUCUCCUUAGCAAGCACCGGCUAACUCUGUG